UACGUAGGGUGCGAGCGUUGUCCGGAAUUACUGGGCGUAAAGGGCUCGUAGGCGGCCAACUAAGUCAGACGUGAAAUCCCCAGGCUCAACCUGGGAACUGCGUCUGAUACUGGAUGGCUUGAAUCCGGGAGAGGGAUGCAGAAUUCCAGGUGGUAGCGGUGAAAUGCGUAGAUAUCAGGAGGAACACCGGUGGCGAAGGCGGUUCUCUGGGCCUUACCUGACGCUGAGGAGCGAAAGCGUGGGGAGCAAACAGG
rnacentral:rRNA from 1 species